rnacentral:rRNA from 1 species
CGUCGAGCGGCGAACGGGUGAGUAACGCGUAGGAAUCUGCCUGGUAGAGGGGGAUAGCUCGGGGAAACUCGAAUUAAUACCGCAUACGCCCUACGGGGGAAAGCAGGGGACCUUCGGACCUUGCACUGUCAGAUGAGCCUGCGUCGGAUUAGCUAGUUGGUGGGGUAAAGGCCCACCAAGGCGACGAUCCGUAACUGGUCUGAGAGGAUGAUCAGUCACACCGGAACUGAGACACGGUCCGG